UUCAAUUAUCCAAACGAUCGCGUUGCCCAUACUCUCGCGCAAGAAGAUAUUAAACCCUAGAAAAAUUUUCAGAUCCCGAUCAUUGUGUCCCUUGUUUAUAGUUUUAUCGAAAUCGUUUCAGGUAAUUGCAGAUGCAAUUUAAUUUCCCCUAAUAUUUUGUCUAUUUUUACUUUUGUUUGUGUGUGAAUUUGAGUUUCCCUUGACGAAUCUAUCGUAAUAAAGUUAAGUUUAUUAAAAAAAAAUUGUUGGAUUUGUUCCGUUGCGUGUUCUUAAUUUUUAAGUUUCUUUUAUACCUUACUUUUUACUCUUGGUUGUGAUGGUAUUUUUAGUUCGUUCUAAAUUUGCCAUUUGUGUAUCUUUUUCGAUAUCACGAAGUGUCAUUGAAUUAACAUGAGAGGAUGGAGUUUCAUUAUAUCAAAAAUUUUCUAGCAGAAGCAGAAAUAUAUGUACACUUUAUCAUAAUUUGAAGUCAUAUUUAGUUAACUCCCAAAUACUGGGAAAUUUGGAAUUAAUACCUACGGCAUUAUGUGGAAUUGGAUUUCAACUUAAUCCAUUUAUAAGUAGUUUGUCAUGUUUUUCACUGUAAAGGGUCAUUGAUUUUCAAAAGUAUACGGCUGUUGAUUUUGCAAAUAUAUAUUGUUUAUGCUAUGCCUGUGAAAUACGCAUCUCUGGAACGAUUGAUUCUGCUACAAAUUCCUGCUUGGUAUUUGCCUGACUCUCGUAUUUUUUUUUUACACCAAUAUUUUUUUCUGUAAGGUUUGUUUUCAUAGUUAAUAUUCUUUUACACAGGAGAAAUGUCUUCAUUUGAUAAUGUUGUUGGUGGAAAGCUGAAACUUAAGGGGAAGGCUCUGGAUGUGAAAGCAGGUGGAGUGAAGAAAAAGAAGAAGCAAAAGAAGCAGUACGAGCAAAUUUCCGAGGUCACAGAAAAUGAGUUUCCAGCAGGUGUGUUGAACUAACUGGAAAAGCCUGAAAUUAAAUCCUUCAUUAGGCUAACAACUUAAUCAAUUUGUGGAAUGUUAAUAGAUAAGGUUGGGGCACAUUUAUUUAUCUUUGUCCUUGUAUGUUUUUAAUUCAUCUAAGUUUAUUAGUGGUAACUCAUGUAGACAAUCUACUCCAAUCAUUGGUUUGUUUAGUUCUGUCUGUUGAAGUAUUGGUGUUUCUACUUUAUAACAAUUAAAUUGUGAGGACAAGUCUGGGGGAAGGAUAGUGGAGAGAAAAUGCUUGUUAAGACUUGUUAAGAGUUAAUUAAAUUAUUAUCAGUAUUUUAAAAGGCGUAAUGCAUGGCAAUAUGUGGAGGCCAAGCUAUAGGCCAGGCGAGCUUUGGCG
rnacentral:lncRNA from 1 species